GCCCCCAUAGCUCAAAUGGAUAGAGCAACGGAUUUCUAAUCCGUAGGUUCCAGGUUCGAGUCCUGGUGGGGGUA
rnacentral:tRNA from 1 species